UGCUCCGCCGUGAUCUCUGUGUACACUGCUCCUCAUGUGGGACUGACGUCAGUGGAAAUUUGUGUAGACUUUAUGAGGCUGCGGCUUAAGGUUUGUUGAUGUUUUUGUGGCUGCUGCCACUGGGGAUUUAUGGGCCACCCACACGGAGAUACUCCGCUUAUCGGCGAGCCGUUUACCAGGCAUAAAUCUGCCUACUCUGGAAUGAGUUGGAUCGUGCUCUGGGCUCUUGGCUCAAAGACAACCAAACACGGUAACAAUCUUUAAAUGAGUCAAGAUCUGGAGAUUUUCCCUCGUUUCACAUCAACUAAGAGCAAAGCUGGCAGGAAUCUCAAUCACUUGUCUUGGCUCAAAGACAACCAAACACGGUAACAAUCUUUAAAUGAGUCAAGAUCUGGAGAUUUUCCCUCGUUUCACAUCAACUAAGAGCAAAGCUGGCAGGAAUCUCAAUCACUUGUAGUGCUACGCACUGCACUGAUCUCGCCUUGAACUGUCCACACAGAAAUAGAUUCAAGAUCAUGGGCACGGGCUUGAUUGUUUUCCGCUCUCCGAAUAGGUGAAAUAGCACUUGAUUGGUUUUCCAUUAAAUCUGGCCUGACCUAAGUUUUAGACAAACGACAUACCCCCUUCGUAGCACGCUGAUCCCUGUGGAGACAUCAUCUUGGAGAACUGCUGGCAUUAGAGCGGCUUAUCACCCACUUUGAUGGUCUAUCUUUAGCUUUACGACCUGCCGUUUCGUGGGCUUUUCCCCAGCGCUCUUGCUUGGAUCUCAGAGCUCCACUGACGCAAACACAGAACUCUUUGGGUCACGUGAGUCGAAAGUGCCCAGUCACUCUUGGCUACGCAGUGUCUAUGGUCCAACGGGUCCGGCUGUGCGCCCCCAGCCCCGUAAAGCCUCCCAGCCGGAACCCCUUCCGAGCGCUUCCAACUCCCCCUGCAAUCCCCUUCCUCCAGUCAAAUGGAAACCGAAAUGGAUGCGCACAGCUCGCGGCUUGAUUAAUCAUUGCAUGCUCAAUAUCAAUUAAGACAAGGGGAAAAGUACAAGAUCGGCUCUCCGCCCCAGAAGAGGCUUGUA